rnacentral:rRNA from 1 species
UCGGGAAUUUUGGGCAAUGGGCGAAAGCCUGACCCAGCAACGCCGCGUGAGGGAUGAAGUAUUUCGGUAUGUAAACCUCGAAAGAAUGGGAAGAAUAAAUGACGGUACCAUUUAUAAGCUCCGGCUAACUACGUGCCAGCAGCCGCGGUAAUACGUAGGGAGCAAGCGUUGUUCGGAUUUACUGGGCGUCAAGGGCGCGUAGGCGGCGCGGUAAGUCACUUGUGAAAUCUCUGAGCUUAACUCAGAACGACCAAGUGAUACUGCUGUGCUAGAGUGCGGAAGAGGCAACCGGAAUUCUUGGUGUAGCGGUGAAAUGCGUAGAUAUCAAGAGGAACACCUGAGGCGAAGGCGGGUUGCUGGGCCGACACUGACGCUGAUGCGCGAAAGCCAGGGGAGCAAACA